UGUAUGAUAAUGAGUCUAAUAUUUUAAAUAGGCAUUGGAGGCACCACACACCUGGUGUCUAUUGAGUAUUGGAAUUAUAAUUCAUCAUAUGACCAUCUUGUUGUGCCCUUCAAAUCAAUGCUCAGGUUGGCCGAGCCACACUUGAGCCUAGAGUUUCGUUUAUUGGAUGCGCUUGGUGUAGUCAUAUUAAUAGUUGGAUCUAAUCAAAAUUUUCAGUGGAGGCACCACAUGCCUGUUGAAGAGAUGCCUAGGGCAAAACCUAAUUACCAAAAGUUGUUUGAAGAAAUAAUUGAUUAGGAACUUACCUAUAGAUGCACUAG
rnacentral:lncRNA from 1 species